GUUUAGGGGUGGGGAAUGUGUGUCCAAGGGGGAGGGUCCGUAGCUACCAAGGCGGCCGAGUGCUGCCUGCGCAUGUCAAGGCUAGCAACACAUUCAGCCACGGGGUGGCCCUGGAGAGGGACGGUUUUGACCACCUAAUCGUCCAGCAUCGGGGCUUCGCAAGAUCCAGGAACGCGCCCCACGGAAAGGGGUCCCUCGGUCUACCCAUCCUCCACCUCUGAGAUCACCCACCCCACCGGAGGUCCCACCUCUUUCCACCCCUGAAGGACCUCCUGUGAGCCCGGGACCCUGUGUACAGGACUGAAGUGGAACAAAUUCUGUAGCCCAGACGACGGCUGGAGUGGGGACACGCCCAACUGAAGAAGCCUGCCCCGCCGUAGAAGCCCGAGAUCCUGAGUCUCGGUGGAUUGAAGUCGUUGUCCCUGGGGGAGGCAAGAGCUUCAGAAAUCGCUUACGGUGGAAAAGAUGCCUGCCUUCAACAGAUUGCUUCCCCUAGCUUCUCUAGUGCUCAUCUACUGGGGCUGAAAUGUUUGAAGACAAGCCUGUUCUGUGUCCAAGUUCAGCAUCCCAUGCUCCCCGCAUUGCUCCAGGUCUUGUGGUCUGGUCCUCUCAGCCACCUUGGUCAGAGUCUGCUUCCCUGUGUGUGUGGAAGUACCCUCG
rnacentral:lncRNA from 1 species